rnacentral:rRNA from 1 species
CCUACGGGGUGCAGCAGUGGGGAAUAUUGCACAAUGGGCGCAAGCCUGAUGCAGCCAUGCCGCGUGUAUGAAGAAGGCCUUCGGGGUGUAAAGUACUUUCAGCGGGGAGGAAGGUGUUGAGGUUAAUAACCUCAGCAAUUGACGUUACCCGCAGAAGAAGCACCGGCUAACUCCGUGCCAGCAGCCGCGGUAAUACGGAGGGUGCAAGCGUUAAUCGGAACUACUGGGCGUAAAGCGCACGCAGGCGGUCUGUCAAGCAGGAUGUGAAAUCCCCGGGCUCAACCUGGGGACUGCAUUCGAAACUGGCAGGCUGGAGUCUUGUAGAGGGGGGUAGAAUUCCAGGUGUAGCGGUGAAAUGCGUAGAGAUCUGGAGGAAUACCGGUGGCGAAGGCGGCCCCCUGGACAAAGACUGACGCUCAGGUGCGAAAGCGUGGGGAGCAAACAGGAUUAGAUACCCGGGUAGUC